rnacentral:rRNA from 1 species
AUCUACCUUUCGGUUGGGGAUAACUUCUGGAAACGGGAGCUAAUACCCAAUAUGCUGUGGAGUGAAAGAAUUUCGCCGAGAGACGACCUUGCGUCUGAUUAGCUUGUUGGGGUGGUAAUGGCACACCAAGGCGACGAUCAGUAGCUGGUCUGAGAGGAUGGACAGCCACAUUGGGACUGAGACACGGCCCAGACUCCUACGGGAGGCAGCAGUGGGGAAUUUUCCGCAAUGGACGAAAGUCUGACGGAGCGACGCUGCGUGAAGGAUGAAGGCCCGUGGGUUGUAAACUUCUUUUCUCGAAGAAGAAAAAAAUGACGGUAUUCGAGGAAUAAGCAUCGGCUAACUCUGUGCCAGCAGCCGCGGUAAGACAGAGGAUGCAAGUGUUAUUCGGAAUGAUUGGGCGUAAAGAGUCUGUAGGCGGUUUAGAAAGUCUUUUGUGAAAUACUUCAGCUCAACUGAGGCUCCGCAAAAGAAACUUCUAGACUUGAGGAAAGUAGAGGUACAGGGAAUUUCCGGUGGAGCGGUGAAAUGCGUAGAUAUCGGAAGGAACACCAAUAUGGCGAAGGCACUGUACUGGGCUUUUCCUGACGCUCAGAGACGAAAGCUGAAGGAGUGAUUAG